rnacentral:rRNA from 1 species
CACGUAGGGCGCAAGCGUUGUCCGGAAUUAUUGGGCGUAAAGAGCUCGUAGGCGGUCUGUUGCGUCUGCUGUGAAAACUCGGGGCUUAACCCCGAGCCUGCAGUGGAUACGGGCAGACUAGAGGUAGGUAGGGGAGAAUGGAAUUCCCGGUGUAGCGGUGAAAUGCGCAGAUAUCGGGAGGAACACCGGUGGCGAAGGCGGCUCUCUGGGACGGUACUGACGCUGAGACGCGAAAGCGUGGGGAGCGAACAGG